CUAGCGGUGGAUACCAGCACAGUGUAGGCAGUGACUAUUUGAUUGGGAUCUCUCAAAGCACUGUUUCGAAGCGGACAUCCCAUGUGCUUAAAGAAAUGGAAACGAAGUUGUCCCCACAGCUUAUACGGUUUACACCAGAGGAUUCCCUUAUGUAAAGAGUAGUUUGUGCACCAAUAUAAAAUUCCUGGAGUUAUUGGGUGUGUUGAUGGUACCCACAUCGGCUUACAAAAACCCACAGUAAACGAGCACAUGUACUGCAAUAGAAAAGGCUACCAUAGUAUCAACGCUAAGAUAAUAUGUGAUCACACUUACAAAAUUAUGGCUAUUCAGUGUCAAUACGGUGGUGCAGCCCACGACUCAUUUGUUUGGAAACACUCGGACCAGAGAAGAUUUUUGGAUGAACGAUUUCAGAACAACAAGAAUGAAAAUUCAUGGCUUUUAGAAACGCUUCGGAUGGUUCAAGUGAAGCUAUGUUCAAUGAAAUUCAUUCCAAAGCAAGAUGUAUCGUCGAACGAACUAUCGGAAUUUUAAAAGGACGCUGGAGAAUUUUAGGAUAUGGCAGGAGAAGAAGGUACCAUCCGACAAAAGUGGCAAGAUUUGCUAACGUUUGUGCAGCAUUACACAACGUCUGCAUAAAAUUUAAAAUAAAUUAUGAUCCUCAGAAUUGCGAUUCUGAUCAAAUAACGGAUAUCGACACCGGAGUAGCGAACCGCCUCACCUC